rnacentral:rRNA from 1 species
AUUGAACGCUGGCGGCAGGCUUAACACAUGCAAGUCGAGCGGGGAAAAGUAGCUUGCUACUUUACCUAGCGGCGGACGGGUGAGUAAUGCUUAGGAAUCUGCCUAUUAGUGGGGGACAACAUUUCGAAAGGAAUGCUAAUACCGCAUACGUCCUACGGGAGAAAGCAGGGGACCUUCGGGCCUUGCGCUAAUAGAUGAGCCUAAGUCGGAUUAGCUAGUUGGUGGGGUAAAGGCCUACCAAGGCGACGAUCUGUAGCGGGUCUGAGAGGAUGAUCCGCCACACUGGGACUGAGACACGGCCCAGACUCCUACGGGAGGCAGCAGUGGGGAAUAUUGGACAAUGGGGGCAACCCUGAUCCAGCCAUGCCGCGUGUGUGAAGAAGGCCUUUUGGUUGUAAAGCACUUUAAGCGAGGAGGAGGCUACUUAGAUUAAUACUCUGAGAUAGUGGACGUUACUCGCAGAAUAAGCACCGGCUAACUCUGUGCCAGCAGCCGCGGUAAUACAGAGGGUGCAAGCGUUAAUCGGAUUUACUGGGCGUAAAGCGUGCGUAGGUGGCCAAUUAAGUCAAAUGUGAAAUCCCCGAGCUUAACUUGGGAAUUGCAUUCGAUACUGGUUGGCUAGAGUAUGGGAGAGGAUGGUAGAAUUCCAGGUGUAGCGGUGAAAUGCGUAGAGAUCUGGAGGAAUACCGAUGGCGAAGGCAGCCAUCUGGCCUAAUACUACACU